rnacentral:rRNA from 1 species
UGUCCUACGGGACGCAGCAGUGAGGAAUAUUGGUCAAUGGGCGGAAGCCUGAACCAGCCAAGUCGCGUGAGGGAAGAAGGCCCUGCGGGUCGCAGACCUCUUUGGACGGGGAGCAAGGCCGCCUACGUGUCGGCGGAAGGAGAGUACCCGUAGAACAAGCAUCGGCUAACUCCGUGCCAGCAGCCGCGGUAAUACGGAGGAUGCGAGCGUUAUCCGGAUUUAUUGGGUUUAAAGGGUGCGUAGGCGGAUUGUUAAGUAAGAGGGGAAAUGUCCGAGCUUAACUCGGGAGGUGCCUCUAAUACUGU